rnacentral:misc_RNA from 1 species
GAUGAAGAACGCAGUGAAAUGCGAUACGUAGUGUGAAUUGCAGAAUUCAGUGAAUCAUCGAAUCUUUGAACGCACAUUGCACCUCUCGGUAUUCCGGGAGGUAUGCCUGUUCGAGCGUCAUUUGUACCCUCAAGCUCUGCUUGGUGUUGGGUGUUUGUUCCGCCUCUGUGUGUGAACUCGCCUCAAAACAAUUGGCAGCCGGCGUACUUGUUUCGGAGCGCAGCACAUUUUGCGAUCCAGAUCAACGUACAGCGGCAUCCAAGAAGCCUUAUUUAACGCUCUUGACCUCGGAUCAGGUAGGGAUACCCGCUGAACUUAAGCAUAUCAAUAAGCAGGA